GGGUCAUUUCAAAGAGGGCUUGUGGGACCAUAACCAAGAGCUCUUAACGCUGUGACCAAAAACUGACGUUCUCCAUAGGAUGUAAAUAGCCACUUAAUGUAAGUGCUGUUUUCCUGAGGAGAUACAAGA